GAAGUGUAAAGGGAGUUACAGGGCACGUUGUUCCUUCCUGCUUCUCUGAUUCUCCCUGUGUGCUACAAGAGAUUUGCCUUUCAGAUGGUUUUUCUGGCACUGGUGAGGGGAGAUGAUCAGCGGUGGGAGGGUGAGCCGAGAGACAAGCCGGGAAUGGCCUGGCAGGGGAUUUUCCUGAAAGCACAGCCAACCCCACUGCCUGGCCCCAAAGGCCUCUUGGAGUCUGGGAAGAGAGGUGCCCCGCAGGACUGCGUAUUCUCUGGGGCAGAGGAAAGUACCCUACAUCUGUCAGGCCAUGAAGAAGCACAGGGGGGUUACCCACUCAUGGCUGCACAGUCUGCUUAGCCAGGCCUGCCCAGAGGCAGGAACUCCCUACUGGGCAGCCAAAGAGCUCUGCACAGCAGCUAAACCU
rnacentral:lncRNA from 1 species